CAUUGAAACACCAGUUCCUGUACGAUCGCUGCAGUUAAGCAACAUUGAGCCUGGUCAGUACCUAGAUAGGUGACCACUUGGGAAUACCAGGUGCUGUAAG